AGUGAACGCUGGCGGUAGGCCUAACACAUGCAAGUCGAACGGCAGCACAGUAAGAGCUUGCUCUUACGGGUGGCGAGUGGCGGACGGUUGAGGAAUACAUCGGAAUCUACUUUUUCGUGGGGGAUAACGUAGGAACACUUACGCUAAUACCGCAUACGACCUACGGGUGAAAGCAGGGGAUCUUCGGACCUUGCGCGAUUGAAUGAGCCGAUGUCGGAUUAGCUAGUUGGCGGGGUAAAGGCCCACCAAGGCGACGAUCCGUAGCUGGUCUGAGAGGAUGAUCAGCCACACUGGAACUGAGACACGGUCCAGACUCCUACGGGAGGCAGCAGUGGGGAAUAUUGGACAAUGGGCGCAAGCCUGAUCCAGCCAUACCGCGUGGGUGAAGAAGGCCUUCGGGUUGUAAAGCCCUUUUGUUGGGAAAGAAAAGCAGCAGGUUAAUACCCCGCUGUUCUGACGGUACCCAAAGAAUAAGCACCGGCUAACUUCGUG
rnacentral:rRNA from 1 species